GGACAAGGUGCAUCAGGUUGUGAUCAGAUCUGCCCAGGGGAGGGAGAGGUGAACUAUAUGCCUCUUCUGCGUUGGCGUACAGUACAACCUUUUACAUCAACUUGCCAAGAGGAAACGGCGACUAUGUCACCAGCGCUUCUCACCAGCAACGCGGUCUGGAGUACCUCUGGGGGGUGCGGACGCUUAGCCUCCGGAGCUAACUACAGAGGAAAUUUGUUCACAGACGAUUUAUGAAGUUGCAGACUCUGUUUGUAUGACUCGGGCAGCUAAUUCUGAGACUGAUUAUGGUGCUGAGUCGCCUUGCUUUAAGAGAAUAUAGUUUCAGAGACGUUGGUGUGGUCUUCCCAGAGACUGAAACUCUGACCGGGGCCUCUCCAAAGAUUAAGCACAAGGGCUAAGUUUAUUCUGGACCCCCGGUGGACCCUGAAUCUAGGCAGCAUUCAGCCAUAUCAGCUGGAGGCUCUGGAGAGCUCGUCCAACAUCCGGCCAAAUCAGCUGGAGGCUCAGGAGAGCUCAUCCAGCAUCCAGCCACGUCAGCUGGAGGCUCAGGGGAGCCAGUCCACCAUCCUGCUUCGCCUCAGCCAGAGGUCUCUGCACUUGCUGACUCUGUGCCUGUUCCUGCUGGAGGCUUAGGAGAGCCCAUCCGCCAGAUCAACCACUUGGUCAACCACCAGAUCAAAUACUUGCUCAACAGCCUGGGGCUUCACCACCACCGUCAGGUCCUGCUACGUAACAGGCUGAGUCUGAGUUCAGCCUGCCGGUGAGACUGACUCAGUCCAAGUGGGAGGUAAGCGCGCCAGUAGGACCUGCUCAACCCGAGCUGAAGGUCAGUGUGCUGUCUGGACCUGCUACGCUGACACACUAAAGGUCUGUGCACCGUCAGGUCCUGCUCUGUCCAAGCCAGAGGUCUGCGUGCCGUUGGGGCCUGCAUGUCUAAAUCCUGCCAAGCUACUUCCAGCACGAUUGGCAAGGCCUGUGCGUCCACAUUUGGCCAGGCCAUGCCCUGUAUGUCCACAUCCUGUUUGGCCUGCAAGUCAACGUCCUGCCAAGUCACAGCCUACAUGGCUCCCGGAUCCGCGGUCGGCCACCAGAAGUGUUUCGCCGUUGUCGCCUCCCGCUUGGUUGGCUGCCUGAACUGUUUUGCUGCUACUGCUGGAACCACGGUUGGCCUCCUGAACUGCAUGUAGGCAUACUCUGCUGUCAUGUGUUUUGUCUUGGCUCCUCUCCCAGUCCUCUGUUUCCCUGUUUAUCUGUAUAGUUGUUGGGACGUGCGUAUGUGUUUCCGGAAGGACUGGUUUAGAAGUGUCAUCAGGCCGAGGAGAGUUCCCGUGCUGGAGGCAGCCACACCUGCCGCUCAUCAGCCAUCACCAAGUUGCAGCUGAUACUUUUGUUACCAGCCUCUCUAUUUAACUGUAUGGCUGAGCUUCAGUCGACGCUGGAUUGUUGAGUUCACUUGUCAGCCCCAGUUAGCUGGUGAAAACUUUGCAUGUGUGUUGCUUGCCAGUUCGACUGAUGUGUUUUUUCCCACUAGGUGUUGAGAACAGAGUUUGUCACGGGAGCAGAGUCACUGUACGGAUUUGAAGUUGGAGUUGUCAUGAUUCAUGCAACCCACCUCUCUUGACACCUGUGUCUGAGAGGUGAGAGGAAUUUAGGACUUGAAACUGACAUUUGACAAUAGAAAAGAAAUUGUGAAUUUUGUAUUUUGCUCAAGUUAGCGGUUUAGGUUGGGGGAAAAAAAGAGAAAGGGGAAAGUAGAUGGAGAUACUGUAUGUUUUGGGAUUUUGGGGGUGGGGGUCUCCAAGUGAAAAGGUCUACAUGAACAAUGAUUUGUUUCAGGAAGUUUUUCAGCCUCUAUUUGAUUUCAACUGAAAAAUAAUUAAGUAGGGGGUUAAGCUUUGCUGAUGAACUGUCCCUAUGUCAUGUAACCCAAACUCAGCUUAAAACUAAAAUGUCCAUGUGGUGAAUUGUACAAACUCUAAAAAAAGGAACUCCAAACAAUGUGGUAAAUGGUUCAUGGAGUGGUUCUUAUAUAGUACUUUUGUACUACUACUAAGUGCUAUAUCCCUACCUCUGUCUACUGAGCUACAUUUGACACAGAGAAUUUUAUUUUUUUAGGUCUAAGAGGGACCCACACUAUACAUUCAAUUCAAGAGUAUUUUUAAAUCUAUAAAUAAAAGUAGAUUUAAAAAUACUAAAUAAAAGUAUUUUCCCUCAAAUUCCUGCCCCCAAAUCCAGAUCCAGGUUCCCUCCAAAAAUUAAACACUUUUGAAG